UGGGACAAGCCCUGGAAACGGGGUCUAAUACCGGAUAACACUCCUGCAGGCAUCUGUGGGGGUUAAAAGCUCCGGCGGUGAAGGAUGAGCCCGCGGCCUAUCAGCUUGUUGGUGAGGUAGUGGCUCACCAAGGCGACGACGGGUAGCCGGCCUGAGAGGGCGACCGGCCACACUGGGACUGAGACACGGCCCAGACUCCUACGGGAGGCAGCAGUGGGGAAUAUUGCACAAUGGGCGAAAGCCUGAUGCAGCGACGCCGCGUGAGGGAUGACGGCCUUCGGGUUGUAAACCUCUUUCAGCAGGGAAGAAGCGAAAGUGACGGUACCUGCAGAAGAAGCGCCGGCUAACUACGUGCCAGCAGCCGCGGUAAUACGUAGGGCGCAAGCGUUGUCCGGAAUUAUUGGGCGUAAAGAGCUCGUAGGCGGUCUGUCACGUCGGAUGUGAAAGCCCGGGGCUUAACCCCGGGUCUGCAUUCGAUACGGGCAGACUAGAGUGUGGUAGGGGAGAUCGGAAUUCCUGGUGUAGCGGUGAAAUGCGCAGAUAUCAGGAGGAACACCGGUGGCGAAGGCGGAUCUCUGGGCCAUUACUGACGCUGAGGAGCGAAAGCGUGGGGAGCGAACAGGAUUAGAUACCCUGGUAGUCCACGCCGUAAACGGUGGGAACUAGGUGUUGGCGACAUUCCACGUCGUCGGUGCCGCAGCUAACGCAUUAAGUUCCCCGC
rnacentral:rRNA from 1 species